rnacentral:rRNA from 1 species
GACGAACGCUGGCGGCGUGCUUAACACAUGCAAGUCGAACGGAAAGGCCCUGCUUUUGUGGGGUGCUCGAGUGGCGAGCGGGUGAGUAACACGUGAGUAACCUUCCCUUGACUUUGGGAUAACUUCAGGAAACUGGGGCUAAUACCGGAUAGGAGCUCCUGCUGCAUGGUGGGGGUUGGAAAGUUUCGGCGGUUGGGGAUGGACUCGCGGCUUAUCAGCUUGUUGGUGGGGUAGUGGCUUACCAAGGCUUUGACGGGUAGCCGGCCUGAGAGGGUGACCGGCCACAUUGGGACUGAGAUACGGACCAGACUCCUACGGGAGGCAGCAGUGGGGAAUAUUGCACAAUGGGCGGAAGCCUGAUGCAGCAACGCCGCGUGCGGGAUGACGGCCUUCGGGUUGUAAACCGCUUUCGCCUGUGACGAAGCGUGAGUGACGGUAAUGGGUAAAGAAGCACCGGCUAACUACGUG